rnacentral:rRNA from 1 species
UCUUCGGCAAUGGACGAAAGUCUGACCGAGCAACGCCGCGUGAGUGAAGAAGGUUUUCGGUUCGUAAAACUCUGUUGUUAGAGAAGAAUGUUGUUUGGAGGGGAAAAUUAAUCACUUGACGGUAUCUAACCAGAAAGGGACGGCUAGCUACGUUCCAGCAGCCGCGGUAAUACGUAGGUCCCGAGCGUUGUCCGGAUUUAUUGGGCGUAAAGCGAGCGCAGGUGGUUUAAUAAGUCUGAUGUAAAAGGCAGUGGCUCAACCAUUGUGUGCAUUGGAAACUGUUAGACUUGAGUGCAGUAGAGGAGAGUGGAAUUCCAUGUGUAGCGGUGAAAUGCGUAGAUAUAUGGAGGAACACCGGUGGCGAAAGCGGCUCUCUGGACUGUCACUGACACUGAGGCUCGAAAGCGUGGGUAGCAAACAGG